rnacentral:rRNA from 1 species
GGAGCAAUCCUGGUGGCGAGUGGCGAACGGGUGAGUAAAGUAUCGGAACGUGCCCAGUCGUGGGGGAUAACGUAGCGAAAGCUACGCUAAUACCGCAUACGAUCUAUGGAUGAAAGCGGGGGAUCGCAAGACCUCGCGCGAUCGGAGCGGCCGAUAUCAGAUUAGGUAGUUGGUGGGGUAAAGGCCCACCAAGCCGACAAUCUGUAGCUGGUCUGAGAGGACGACCAUCCACACUGGGACUGAGACACGGCCCAGACUCCUACGGGAGGCAGCAGUGGGGAAUUUCGGACAAUGGGCGCAAGCCUGAUCCAGCAAUGCCGCGUGCAGGAUGAAGGCCUUCGGGUUGUAAACUGCUUUUGUACGGAGCGAAAAGGCUUCCACUAAUACUGGGGGCUCAUGACGGU